GCGGACGUGGCGGAAUUGGGAUACGCGCAAGGCUUAGGACCUUGUGGCAUGAAAUGCCUUGGGGGUUCAAAUCCCUCCGUCCGCA
rnacentral:tRNA from 1 species